GGCAAGCAGCUGAGGACUUUGACCAGGAAAGGAAGGGCCCAGAGAGGUACUUGAGAAGGCUGAGUCCAUGGGAUUCCUUCCUGCGGCAGGUGUGAAGAGACCUUUUGUGCCCGUUCCAUUUCCCGUCUCUGCUCUGCAGCCCGACUCAGCCUUCUCAAGUACCUCUCUGGGCCCUUCCUUUCCUGGUCAAAGUCCUCAGCUGCUUGCCUUGAUCCCCAGGUAGAUGCCUGCCUCCUGAGCGUGGGUGGUGCCCCAGCCUUCCCGGUCUGGUCCUGCCCCCUCUCCAGCCGCCUUCAGCCCUCCCCGAGGAAUGCACUGGGGGCCGUCGCAGGGGCUGGGGCAGAGCAGGGGGCAUGAGACCUGUCCCUCACCAGCUCCCAUGCUGCGGGAUCCAAGUGCCUGCUCCCAGGCCUCUGCACACACACCACACUGUUCCCUCUGCUUUGCCUGCUGUGCCCUCUGGGCUUCUUUCCCCUGGGAAAAAGCCUCUUUACAUUUCAAGGCUGGUCCCUCAUUUCCAGCAGAAAACUGUUUUCCUGGACUGUCUUUUUCUUGGCUUACGGAUUUGUGACUGCACUUUCCCAAGAAGUGUUGAAGCUCGGCUCACAUUUUUGUGUGGAGAACCAGCUAACCCCUUCCUCAAAGUUUUUGUGAGGAAAAGUAAUUUAAAUGUUUGAAAAAGAGUUGUAACCUGGUAAAGUGCCUCCGAAGGCUGCUGAGUGCCUCAGAGAGCAGGUACCGCGUGCUUGCUGCGUGUGGGUGUUCGGGCCAGGUACUUUGGGGUUAUGUGUGUCAACGUGACCUGGUCCCUACCUGCCAUCACCUGGGGGGGGGGCUGUGAACAAUUCCUGUCAGUGUUGAUAGGAGACAGUGAGACUGUGCCAUCAACGGUAGUCUCCGUGACCCUGGACCCUCAGAACAAGCCUGCGAAGUAGGUACUAUCAUAUUACCUUCUAUGAGUAUCCCCAUUUAACAGAUGAGAAACUGAGGCCCAGAGGGAUGAAGUAGCUUGUCCAGGAUCAAAUACAUAGCAAAUACUGGAACUGGGAUUUGCAGCUGGCAAUUGAGAAGGAGGCUGGAAUCCAGAGAAGAGGGUUCUGGAGUUCAGAGGGGAGUCCAGCUUCCCACGGGGGGUGGGGGGGGAGGAAGGUGACCUGGGGUGGGUGCAGGCCAGAGCGGGGAACGUGUUUCCUAGGCAGCCUGCAGGGAAGACUGAAAAUGCCCCAUGUUUGGGGGUGGGGGAGACGCUGAUGAGAGUCUGGGGAGCACAGGAGGGGCACAGGGAGAGGUGGAGAUGUGGCACUCAACUGGGGCUCCCGGGGACUUUUUUUUUGGCCACCCGCAGCAUAUGGAGUUCUGGGCCAGGGAUUAGAUCCCAGUUGCAGGUGCCACCUAGCCUGCAGCUGUGGCAAUGCCAGCUCCUUAAUCCACCGUGCCGGGCUGGGGUUCAAAUCUGCGUCCCAGUGCUCCUAAGACACUGCCGAUCCCAUUGCACCGCAGGGUUUGACUUUUAAUGCAGGGGUGACAGAUGGCUGGUCUGUCCACAUGCUGUCACAUGGGCAGCUCCUACGGGUCACCAGCACCCUUCCUCCGUUUCUUCAAGGGACAAAGCGACUUUGCUCUAGAGCAGAACACUGAUCGUCCCACACAUAUGUCCCUACUUUUGUUGCUGUCGCUGUGAGGUUUUUAAACUGGAGACCAUUUCACUUUCACACACCAACCACAAUGUCGAAUAAAUUGGUUGAACUUGUAGAUUUAUAUCCGCAUAUCAAGAUACCACUUCACGUUCACGUAUGGCUCUGAAGAGCAUAGGAAAAAGUUGAGAAAGCCGUGCACCCGUGUGCUAAACCGUGGAUAGAUGUGUGAACUAGAGUGGGCUCCCAGUUUUCAUUGAAAAAAAAAUCUCUUUAUCCGUCUGUCCAUUGAGGGACACUUGAGUUGUUUUCACCUUUUGGUUAUUCUGAAAAAUGCUGCUGGGAACGUGGGUGUACAAACACCUCUUAAACUCCCUGGUUUCAAUUCCUUUUUAAAAAAUUUUUUAUUAUAGUUGAUUUUUUUUUAUUAUAGUUGAUUCAGUUCUUUUUGGCACCCACCCAGAAGUGGAACUGCUGGAUCAAAUGGUAAUUCUAUUUUUAAUUUUUUGAGGGGCAGUCAAACCAUUUUCCGCAGUGACUGGCUGUACCAUUUUACAUUUCUACCAGAAUGCGCAAGCAUUCCAAUUUCUCCAUAUCCUGGCCAACACGGGCUAUUUCUGAGUUGGUUGGUUGGUUGGUUUGUUUAAUGGUGACCCUCCUAAUGGGUGUGAGGUGGUGUUUCACUGGAGUUUUGAUUUGUGUCUCUCUGGUGCCUUUUCCUGGGCUUUGUGGCCAUCUGUAUACCUUCUUUGGAGACAUGCCUGUUCAAGCCUUUGUCCAGUUUUAAAACUGGGUUCCUUUGUUGCUAAGCUGUAGAAUAUUAAUUCCUUAGUUGCUAUAUGAUUUGCAAACAUUUUCUCCUGUUCUGCAGGUUGCUGCCUUUUCUCUUUUUUCAGAGUGCCCGUGGAUGCACCAAAAGUUUUUAGUUUUGGUGAAUUCAUCUAUUUUUCCUCCGUUGCCUGUGCUUUUGAUGUCAUAUGCAAGGAAUCACUGCCAAAUCCAAUGUUAUGACGCUCUCCCCUCAACCCCCAAUAUUUUUUCAAAAGAAUUGUGGUUCAUGCCUAAACCCUUUCUACAAUGCCCAAAGAAGUGUUGACAGGCUGCAGGCCUCAUAAAUGCCAUUAAAAAAAUAAUUGAUCGAGGUGAAAUUCCUCACCUGAGAAAUAACCAUUUCAAAGGGAACAUUUAGUGUCAUUGAGUCACAGCAUUGUGCUCGCCCCCUAUUUCUGUAUCAAUUCUUUAGGGUUGGCAAAGUAUUUUCAUAGUACUGCAUAGUAAUCCCCGAGAGCUGGACAAAACAGCAAACAAAUUCCACAGGCUGGGGAGGAAGGGGAGGGGUAGCCGACUCAGGAAAAGCCUGUUGUACGGCGGGCACUGUGCCAGCACGUUCUCUAGCCAACCUGAGCUGUGCUUUCCCUGACUCUCAGGUGCCUCGGCGAUACCCCCGCCUGGGCAGGUGCUCUGGUCAGCCAGGCUUUGCUCCUCCCUCUCCUCUCGUCCCCUUAUCUGCAUCGUCAACCUCUAAGUGACCCUUUCUUGCUCCUGGGAUUUUGGUUGCUGGUUAUCUCCGCUUCUCUCUCCAACCUCAUUAGCACACUGCCAAGGCUGGGGCAAACCUUUCCGCAGGCACUUUGGAAGUCCCUGCAGAAUGAGCAACAGGGACAAAUGAAAAAGCUAGGAGCCCAUCCCAUCCGACCUGGAGCUCCCUUCCUUAAACCCUCCAGUUCAUGGAGGAAAAGGGACACCUGCUCCUGCUUGAACCUCCCUGGGUCCCCACCGACAAUCCUGGCCACGCCUGAGGUGUUUGGACAAACAGGAAGCCAAGGCUUAAGGCCGUUGAGGAGCUUGGCUGUCACAGCCUGCACAGGGGCCAUAUGCCAGCCUGGGUCUUUGCUGCCUUUCGAGGGCGGGUCGCACCUCUAACGGCAUCUGUAGGUGUUUUUCCUGAGCACUGUGGAUACCCAGGGGGCAGACUCCACUCUGCCCUCUGCUGAGGCCACCAACAACCAGAACAAGGCAGAGAGAGCCAGGCCAGUAUGAGCAAAAUCUGUCCUUCUUCUGAAGUCAGUGGCUGCAGCCACUGGUCACAGCUCACAGAUGAGAGCCAGGGAUUCUGGGCAGCCCCCAGACCUGAGUAAGAACCAGCUGUGACUCAGGAUCGUCAGGUGACUUAAUCCUGAAACACAAAUCCUCUGAGUGGCCUCACCAGGCUGGAAGGGAUGAAGGAAUCCUGCCUCUGGAUGCAGCGCACCCCCCUGACACUAUUACUUAAACAUUUCAGAUUUUUCAAAAAAGAAUCAUAGAUUAUUAGAACUAGAAAAGUUCCUUUGGAAUCAUUUCACACUCGGUUUUAUAGCUGCUGCCCAAGAGGCAAAGCCAGAACCGCGGACCUGGGUCGCCUCCAAGUUCUGUGUCUUGGCAGUUCUGUGUCUUGGCCCCCAGCCCAGCCCCAGCCUUUGGGAUCAAGCCAGGCCUGGAGCUGGCGGGGGAGGGUCCCUGUUCAUCUUCAGACCCCCUCACUCCAUCACUCCCCGGGUUCCAUUCUAGCGGCGCCCACCCCCGCCCCCUUUCCUACUUUAC
ensembl:lncRNA